CCGUGACGUCGCGAGAAGUCCACUGAACCUUAUCAUUUAGAGGAAGGAGAAGUCGUAACAAGGUUUCCGUAGGUGAACCUGCGGAAGGAUCAUUGUCGAGACCUGCCCAGCAGAAAGACCCGCGAAC
rnacentral:rRNA from 1 species